rnacentral:rRNA from 1 species
AGUGGCGAAAGGGUGAGUAACGGAUAGGUAGCGUGCCCUAUGCUUUGGGAUAGCGUCUCCCGACUUGUCGGGAUUCCGAAAGGGGCGGUAAUACCGAAUAAUAUCACUUGUCGAUGGACAAAUGAUCAAAGAUUUAUCGGCAAAGGAGCGGCCUAUCUCCUAUCAGCUUGUUGGUGAGGUAAAAGCUCACCAAGGCUUUGACGGGUAGCGGGACUGAGAGGUUGGCCCGCCACAUCGGGACUGAGACACUGCCCGGACCUCCACGGAGGGCUGCAGUAACGAAUCUUGCGCAAUGGGCUAAAGCCUGACGCAGCGACGCCGCGUGCGGGAGGAAGUCCCUCGGGAUGUAAACCGCUGUCAGAGGUAAGAAAGUUCACUUCGGUGGAUUGAUCGAGCCCACAGGAAGUCACGGCUAACUUCGUGCCAGCAGCCGCGGUAAGACGAAGGUGGCGAGCGUUGUUCGGUGUUACUGGGCUUAAAGCGUAUGUAGGCGGAAAAGUAAGCGUUUUGUGAAAUCCCUCGGCUUAACCGAGGAAUUGCUUGGCGAACUGCUUUUCUUGAGGCAAGUAGGGGUGCAUGGAACUCUUGGUGGAGCGGUGGAAUGCGUAGAUAUCAAGAGGAACGCCGAUGGAGAAAUCAGUGCACUGGGC